CCCUUAGAUGUUCUGGGCCGCACGCGCGCUACACUGACGCAUUCAACGAGUCUAAAACCUGGUCUGAUAGGGCUGGGUAAUCUUUUGAAAGUGCAUCGUGAUUGGGAUAGAUGAUUGCAAUUCUUCAUCUUCAACGAGGAAUGCCUAGUAAACGCAAGUCAUCAGCUUGCAUUGAUUACGUCCCUGCCCUUUGUACACACCGCCCGUCGCUCCUACCGAUUGAAUGAUCCGAUGAAUACCAUGGAUUGAGAGUACGAAUGGGUUCGCUCAUUUCUGCUGCUCGAGAAGUGGAGUAAAUCUUAUCAUUUAGAGGAAGGAGAAGUCGUAACA
rnacentral:rRNA from 1 species